GGGAAUUAGCUCAGUUGGCUAGAGCAUCGGCUUUGCAAGCCGAGGGUCAGGGGUUCAAGCCCCCUAUUCUCC
rnacentral:tRNA from 1 species